GGACUACCGGGGUUUCUAAUCCUGUUUGCUCCCCACGCUUUCGUGCCUCAGUGUCAGUUAUUGCCCAGUAAGUCGCCUUCGCCACUGGUGUUCCUUCCGAUAUCUACGCAUUUCACCGCUACACCGGAAAUUCCACUUACCUCUACAACACUCUAGCUACGCAGUAUUAAGCGCAAUUCCCAGGUUGAGCCCGGGGCUUUCACACCUAACUUACGUAACCACCUACGCACCCUUUACGCCCAGUAAUUCCGAUUAACGCUCGCACCCUCUGUAUUACCGCGGCUGCUGGCAC
rnacentral:rRNA from 2 species